AGAGACAGCAGUCGCCACGGGAAUACGUAGGUGGCAAGCGUUGUCCGGAAUUAUUGGGCGUAAAGGGCUCGCAGGCGGUUUCUUAAGUCUGAUGUGAAAGCCCCCGGCUCAACCGGGGAGUGUCAUUGGAAACUGGGAAACUUGAGUGCAGAAGAGGAGAGUGGAAUUCCACGUGUAGCGGUGAAAUGCGUAGAGAUGUGGAGGAACACCAGUGGCGAAGGCGACUCUCUGGUCUGUAACUGACGCUGAGGAGCGAAAGCGUGGGGAGCGAACAGGAUUAGAUACCCCUGUAGUCCCUGUCUCUUAUAA
rnacentral:rRNA from 1 species